rnacentral:lncRNA from 1 species
UCUAAAAUACUCUUCCCAUAUUUUUUAUUUAUUCCUAUAUUGAUAUGUACUACUAUAUUUAAAAAAUUUAAAUUUCUAAACAAGUUAAUAUUAGUUCGUUGAAUAAAUGAUAGGAAAAUAUAAAUUGUAUCAUUUGUCUAAUCCAAUAAAUUUCUCAAAAAUUUAUAAUUUAAUUAAUAUUUUAUUUUACACAUAUGAA